rnacentral:rRNA from 1 species
UACGAAGGGGGCUAGCGUUGCUCGGAAUCACUGGGCGUAAAGGGUGCGUAGGCGGGGUUUUAAGUCAGGGGUGAAAUCCUGGAGCUCAACUCCAGAACUGCCUUUGAUACUGAAGAUCUCGAGUCCGGGAGAGGUGAGUGGAACUGCGAGUGUAGAGGUGAAAUUCGUAGAUAUUCGCAAGAACACCAGUGGCGAAGGCGGCUCACUGGCCCGGUACUGACGCUGAGACGCGAAAGCGUGGGGAGCGAACAGG